rnacentral:rRNA from 1 species
GAGUUUGAUCCUGGCUCAGAAUCAACGCUGGCGGCGUGCCUAACACAUGCAAGUCGCACGAGAAAGGGGCUUCGGCUCUGAGUAAAGUGGCGCACGGGUGAGUAACACGUGACUUAUCUACCCUCGAGUGGGGAAUAACUAAGAGAAAUCUUGGCUAAUACCGCAUAAUACCCACGGGUCAAAGCAGUAAUGCGCUUGAGGAGGAGGUCGCGGCCGAUUAGCUAGUUGGCGGGGUAAUGGCCCACCAAGGCGAUGAUCGGUAUCCGGCCUGAGAGGGCGCACGGACACACUGGAACUGAAACACGGUCCAGACUCCUACGGGAGGCAGCAGUGGGGAAUUUUGCGCAAUGGGGGAAACCCUGACGCAGCAACGCCGCGUGGAGGGUGAAGUAUCUUGGUACGUAAACUCCUUUCGAUGGGGAAGAUAAUGACGGUACCCAUAGAAGAAGCCCCGGCUAACUUCGUGCCAGCAGCCGCGGUAAUACGAGGGGGGCAAGCGUUGUUCGGAAUUAUUGGGCGUAAAGGGUGCGUAGGCGGUUUGGCAAGUCUUAUGUGAAAUCUUCGGGCUCAACCCGAAGUCUGCAUGAGAAACUGCCGGGCUUGAGUAUGGGAGAGGUGAGUGGAAUUUCCGGUGUAGCGGUGAAGUGCGUAGAUAUCGGAAGGAACACCUGUGGCGAAAGCGGCUCACUGGACCAUAACUGACGCUG